GAUUGCCCUAGUAACGGCGAGUGAAGCGGCAACAGCUCAAAUUUGAAAUCUGGCUCUCGGGCCCGAGUUGUAAUUUGUAGAGGAUGCUUUUGAUGCGGUGCCUUCCGAGUUCCCUGGAACGGGACGCCAUAGAGGGUGAGAGCCCCGUCUGGUUGGAUGCCAAAUCUCUGUAAAGCUCCUUCAACGAGUCGAGUAGUUUGGGAAUGCUGCUCUAAAUGGGAGGUAUAUGUCUUCUAAAGCUAAAUAUUGGCCAGAGACCGAUAGCGCACAAGUAGAGUGAUCGAAAGAUGAAAAGCACUUUGAAAAGAGAGUUAAAAAGUACGUGAAAUUGUUGAAAGGGAAGCGUUUAUGACCAGACUUGGACUUGGUUAAUCAUCUGGGGUUCUCCCCAGUGCACUUUUCCAGUUCAGGCCAGCAUCAGUUUUCCCCGGGGGAUAAAGGCAGUGGGAAUGUGGCUCCCUUCGGGGAGUGUUAUAGCCCAUUGUGUAAUACCCUGGGGGAGACUGAGGUUCGCGCAUCUGCAAGGAUGCUGGCGUAAUGGUCAUCAAUGACCCGUCUUGAAACACGGACCAAGGAGUCGUCUUCGUAUGCGAGUGUUCGGGUGUCAAACCCCUACGCGUAAUUAAAGUGAACGCAGGUGAGAGCUUCGGCGCAUCAUCGACCGAUCCUGAUGUUCUCGGAUGGAUUUGAGUAAGAGCAUACGGGGCCGGACCCGAAAGAAGGUGAACUAUGCCUGUAUAGGGUGAAGCCAGAGGAAACUCUGGUGGAGGCUCGCAGCGGUUCUGACGUGCAAAUCGAUCGUCAAAUAUGGGCAUGGGGCGAAAGACUAAUC
rnacentral:misc_RNA from 1 species